rnacentral:rRNA from 1 species
UACGUAGGGCGCAAGCGUUAUCCGGAAUUAUUGGGCGUAAAGAGCUCGUAGGCGGACUGUCACGUCUGCUGUGAAAAGCUGGGGCUUAACCCUGGCCUUGCAGUGGAUACGGGCAGACUAGAGGUAGGUAGGGGAGAAUGGAAUUCCCGGUGUAGCGGUGAAAUGCGCAGAUAUCGGGAGGAACACCGGUGGCGAAGGCGGUUCUCUGGGCCUUACCUGACGCUGAGGAGCGAAAGCGUGGGGAGCGAACAGG